UCAGACGAUGCGUCAUGCAUAUCAAUAAGCGGAGGAAAAGAAACUAACAAGGAUUCCCCUAGUAACGGCGAGUGAAGCGGGAAGAGCUCAAAUUUGAAAUCUUAAAGGGUUUUCCCUUUACGAAUUGUAGUUUAAAGAAGUGUUUUCUGUUGAGGUUUUGGUAAAAGUUCUUUGGAAUAGGACAUCAUAGAGGGUGAGAAUCCCGUAUUUGACCUUUACUUUCAACUUUGUGAUACACUGUCAAAGAGUCGGAUUGUUUGGGAAUGCAGUCCAAAAUGGGUGGUAAAUUUCAUCUAAAGCUAAAUAUUGGCGAGAGACCGAUAGCGAACAAGUACCGUGAGGGAAAGAUGAAAAGAACUUUGAAAAGAGAGUUAAACAGUACGUGAAAUUGUCAAAAGGGAAGCGUUUGACACCAGUGUUGUUUUUCUGAAAAUCAAUUAAAGAACUGUUUAUGCUAAGUUGUUUAGACUUUAUCAGCUAACUGUUUAGUUUUGAGCUUUUCUUUAAUGCACUUUUCAGUUAACAAGUCAACAUCAAUUUCUUUUGCUGUAAAAAAGCUUGAGGAAGGUGGCUUGAGAUUCGUCUUAAGUGUUUAUAGCCUCUUGCCUAUGCAGUCGGAGAGAUUGAGGUCUGCAGCGUAGAUCCUUCGGGGCUAAAUGCAUUUGUGCUAAGUUAUAGCAUUUUAUAGACAACUUGUUGACUAUGAUUUGUCUUGUAGCUUACUCGCUUAUGUUAUUUUACCUACGCUUAGGAUGUUGAGCGCAUGUCUCUCUCU
rnacentral:rRNA from 1 species